rnacentral:rRNA from 1 species
GUAGGGUGCAGGCGUUAAUCGGAAUUACUGGGCGUAAAGCGUGCGCAGGCGGUCUGCUAAGAGAGAUGUGAAAUCCCCGGGCUUAACCUGGGAACUGCGUUUCUAACUGGCAGGCUUGAGUGUGGCAGAGGGGGGUGGAAUUCCACGUGUAGCAGUGAAAUGCGUAGAGAUGUGGAGGAACACCGAUGGCGAAGGCAGCCCCCUGGGCUAACACUGACGCUCAUGCACGAAAGCGUGGGGAGCAAACAGGAUUAGAUACCCUGGUAGUCCACGCCCUAAACUAUGUCAACUGGUUGUCGGGGAAGCAAUUCCUUGGUAACGAAGCUAACGCGUGAAGUUGACCGCCUGGGGAGUACGGCCGCAAGGUUA